GAGUGAUCGAAAGAUGAAAAGCACUUUGGAAAGAGAGUCAAAUAGCACGUGAAAUUGUUGAAAGGGAAGCGCUUGCAGCCAGACUUGCCUGUAGUUGCUCAUCCGGGCUUUUGCCCGGUGCACUCUUCUGCGGGCAGGCCAGCAUCAGUCUGGGCGGUUGGAUAAAGGCCUCUGUCAUGUACCUCCUCUCGGGGAGGCCUUAUAGGGGAGGCGUAAUGCAACCAGCCUGGACUGAGGUCCGCGCAUCUGCUAGGAUGCUGGCGUAAUGGCUGUAAGCGGCCC
rnacentral:rRNA from 1 species